CACUCCUACGGGAGGCAGCAGUGGGGAAUUUUGGACAAUGGGCGAAAGCCUGAUCCAGCAAUGCCGCGUGAGUGAAGAAGGCCUUCGGGUUGUAAAGCUCUUUUGUCAGGGAAGAAACGGUGAGAGCUAAUAUCUCUUGCUAAUGACGGUACCUGAAGAAUAAGCACCGGCUAACUACGUGCCAGCAGCCGCGGUAAUACGUAGGGUGCAAGCGUUAAUCGGAAUUACUGGGCGUAAAGCGUGCGCAGGCGGUUUUGUAAGUCUGAUGUGAAAUCCCCGGGCUCAACCUGGGAAUUGCAUUGGAGACUGCAAGGCUAGAAUCUGGCAGAGGGGGGUAGAAUUCCACGUGUAGCAGUGAAAUGCGUAGAUAUGUGGAGGAACACCGAUGGCGAAGGCAGCCCCCUGGGUCAAGAUUGACGCUCAUGCACGAAAGCGUGGGGAGCAAACAGGAUUAGAAACCCGUGUAGUCCCAUGA
rnacentral:rRNA from 1 species